ACCAGGUCAUAUUCACUGAGUGGUUUAAUAGACCAGGUCAUAUCCACUGAGGGGUUUAAUAGACCAGGUCAUAUCCACUGAGGGGUUUAAUAGACCAGGUCAUAUUCACUGAGGGGUUUAAUAGACCAGGUCAUAUUCACUGAGGGGUUUAAUAGACCAGGUCAUAUUCAUAUUCACUGAGGGGUUUAAUAGACCAGGUCAUAUUCACUGAGGGGUUUAAUAGACCAGGUCAUAUUCAUAUUCACUGAGGGGUUUAAUAGACCAGGUCAUAUCCACUGAGGGGUUUAAUAGACCAGGUCAUAUUCACUGAGGGGUUUAAUAGACCAGGUCAUAUUCACUGAGUGGUUUAAUAGACCAGGUCAUAUCCACUGAGGGGUUUAAUAGACCAGGUCAUAUUCACUGAGGGGUUUAAUAGACCAGGUCAUAUUCACUGAGGGGUUUAAUAGACCAGGUCAUAUUCACUGAGUGGUUUAAUAGACCAGGUCAUAUUCAUAUCCACUGAGGGGUUUAAUAGACCAGGUCAUAUUCAUAUCCACUGAGGGGUUUAAUAGACCAGGUCAUAUUCACUGAGGGGUUUAAUAGACCAGGUCAUAUUCACUGAGGGGUUUAAUAGACCAGGUCAUAUUCACUGAGGGGUUUAAUAGACCAGGUCAUAUCCACUGAGGGGUUUAAUAGACCAGGUCAUAUUCACUGAGGGGUUUAAUAGACCAGGUCAUAUUCACGGAGGGGUUUAAUAGACCAGGUCAUAUUCACUGAGGGGUUUAAUAGACCAGGUCAUAUCCACUGAGUGGUUUAAUAGACCAGGUCAUAUUCAUAUCCACUGAGUGGUUUAAUAGACCAG